GCCCGGGUGGCGGAAUCUGGUAGACGCAGCGGCCUCAAAAGCCGCCGGCCUCACGGUCAUGCGGGUUCGAGUCCCGCCCCGGGUA
rnacentral:tRNA from 1 species